rnacentral:rRNA from 1 species
CCUACGGGUGGCAGCAGUGGGGAAUAUUGGACAAUGGGCGAAAGCCUGAUCCAGCCAUGCCGCGUGUGUGAAGAAGGCCUUCGGGUUGUAAAGCACUUUCAGUGGGGAAGAAAGCCUUGGGGCUAAUACCCUAGAGGAAGGACAUCACCCACAGAAGAAGCACCGGCUAACUCCGUGCCAGCAGCCGCGGUAAUACGGAGGGUGCGAGCGUUAAUCGGAAUUACUGGGCGUAAAGCGCGCGUAGGCGGUCUGAUAAGCCGGUUGUGAAAGCCCCGGGCUCAACCUGGGAACGGCAUCCGGAACUGUCAGGCUAGAGUGCAGGAGAGGAAGGUAGAAUUCCCGGUGUAGCGGUGAAAUGCGUAGAGAUCGGGAGGAAUACCAGUGGCGAAGGCGGUCUUCUGGACUGACACUGACGCUGAGGUGCGAAAGCGUGGGUAGCAAACAGGAUUAGAUCCCCCAGUAGUC